AUUGUACGGUAGUUGGAGGAAAUACCAUGUCAUAAAAGUGGUUUUCUCAGGGGGGAGGCUCAUCCAUUAAACUUCAGGUGUACUGCUGAUCACUUUGAUUUCCCCAAAUGCAGGGAACUCAACUGCAUAAUUUGUGUUAAUGGGGGAUUGCCCUCGUGAUUUCCCUGG
rnacentral:snRNA from 1 species